rnacentral:rRNA from 1 species
CACGUAGGGUGCGAGCGUUGUCCGGAAUUAUUGGGCGUAAAGAGCUCGUAGGCGGUGUGUCGCGUCGGCCGUGAAAACCUGCAGCUUAACUGUGGGCUUGCGGUCGAUACGGGCAUCACUGGAGUUCGGCAGGGGAGACUGGAAUUCCUGGUGUAGCGGUGAAAUGCGCAGAUAUUCGCAAGAACACCAGUGGCGAAGGCGGCUUACUGGACCGGUUCUGGACGCUGAGGCGGCGAAAGCGUGGGGAGCAAACAGG